rnacentral:rRNA from 1 species
CGGUGAGGAAACCUGCCUUUCAGACGGGGGACAACAGCUGGAAACGGCUGCUAAUACCGCAUGACACAUAGUUUAUCGCAUGGUAGAUAUGUCAAAGAUUUAUCGCUGAGAGAUGGCCUCGCGUCUGAUUAGCUAGUUGGUAGGGUAACGGCCUACCAAGGCGACGAUCAGUAGCCGGACUGAGAGGUUGGCCGGCCACAUUGGGACUGAGAUACGGCCCAGACUCCUACGGGAGGCAGCAG